rnacentral:rRNA from 1 species
CCCUAUGGGGUGCAGCAAUAAACAGAACUUCGGGACCGGGCUCCUCAUGCCGCUGAUCAUGCUUGGCCUGCUGCUGCUGCGCAUCAUCUAUCCCCCCGUGGAGGGGCAGGCUCAAAGCGGAGUCCUGUUCUACAGCCUGAAGGGACCGGGGGCCGCGUAUGCACCGUUGUUGAUUUCCCUCGGUAUCGGCCUUUUUGUGGGCGUUCUGGCCCAGCGCAGCCGCUUCUGCACCAUGGGGGCGCUCCGGGACCUGAUUCUUUUCAAGCAGUGGCAUCUUUUUCCGGCUUCCUGGCCCUCCUGGCGGCGGCAUGGCUCGCCAACCUCGCCCUGGGGCAGUUCCAUCCCGGCUUCGAAAAACAGCCCGUUGCGCAUACCCUCGCCUUCUGGAACUUCGCGGGCAUGCUUGUCGCCGGUCUUUCCUUUGCCCUGGCGGGAGGGC